CCUACGGGAGGCAGCAGUGGGGAAUAUUGGACAAUGGGCGAAAGCCUGAUCCAGCCAUGCCGCGUGUGUGAAGAAGGCCUUCGGGUUGUAAAGCACUUUCAGUGGGGAAGAAAGCCUUGGGGCUAAUACCCUCGAGGAAGGACAUCACCCACAGAAGAAGCACCGGCUAACUCCGUGCCAGCAGCCGCGGUAAUACGGAGGGUGCGAGCGUUAAUCGGAAUUACUGGGCGUAAAGCGCGCGUAGGCGGUCUGAUAAGCCGGUUGUGAAAGCCCCGGGCUCAACCUGGGAACGGCAUCCGGAACUGUCAGGCUAGAGUGCAGGAGAGGAAGGUAGAGUUCCCGGUGUAGCGGUGAAAUGCGUAGAGAUCGGGAGGAAUACCAGUGGCGAAGGCGGCCUUCUGGACUGACACUGACGCUGAGGUGCGAAAGCGUGGGUAGCAAACAGGAUUAGAUACCCUUGUAGUC
rnacentral:rRNA from 1 species